rnacentral:lncRNA from 1 species
CGGCGAGAAAUCGAAGGUCCCCCAAGGACCCACGUCCAGGAGCCAACAGCCUCUCUGUGCAAACCAGACAACCCUGCAGGAACUGUGCUUGAAGAAACCGUGGAAACUGCCCCCAACCCUCCCGUCUCUAUUUCUUUCUCUGUUUUAUUAUCUCAUUCUUGGCUGUGAGGUAAACAGGAGAAAAUGAGAAGGUGGUUCUGGAGGACCCGACCGAAUUUGCUUUCGUGACAGGGUCAAGCGCCCUUUCCUCGCCGGCCGCAGCCCUCACCAAAGGGGAUUUGGGGGCCUCCGGACAGGGGUCCUGAAGGUUUUGAAUUGUUCAAUCUCUGGGGGUACAGGAACCCCUGCAGGAGGUUUCAAAGGCAAGAGUUUCGCAGAGAGAAAAAAACCAUGAACUUUGCAGGUUGGUGGCGGAAUCUGGUGAUUUAAGAAAACGUGUUUAAGCCUCGGCCGGGCCGCGCCUGGGCUGUCUGCGGUGCUCUUCCGGAAUUCUCUACAAUAUCUGGAAGUGACCAAGAAAAUUCCAGAACCCGGAGGCUGCGCCGUGGAGAUAAACAUGGGCACCUGGGAAGGAACUGCUGGACCAGCAGAAUGAGGGGCCAACGCCAGGGGCAGCACUGCCCGGCCACAGAGGACUGUGGCCCCACAGAUGACACCCUCAGCUACCAGCUCCUGCAUCUGGAAGAUGACCAGGAGGAGGAAGGACGGUCUGCAAGUGUUCAAAGUGAUGUUUCCAGGCCGGGCGCGCUUGUAAUACCAGCAUUUGGGAGGCUGAGGCAGGCGGAUCACCUGAGGUCGGGAGUUCGAGACCAGCCUGACCAACGUGGAGAAACCCCGUCUCUACUAAAAAUACAAAAUUAGCCAGGCGUGGUGGCGCAGCUACUCGGGAGGCUGAGGCAGGAGAAUCGCUUGAACCCGGGAGGCGGAGGUUGCGGUGAGCUGAGAUUGUGCCAUUGCACUCCAGCCUGGGCAACAAGAGUGAAACUCCGUCUGAAAAAAAAAAAACCUCUAUAACAUCCAAAAUACUAACCACUUGUUACCUCUA